rnacentral:misc_RNA from 1 species
GUUAGAUCUAUGCGCUCUUUGGGGGCAUCUGGAAAUGAUGUAGGAUCCUUCCAUCAAAAUUCUCUUUACUCUGGUCAAAAUAUGGCAACGCCUUCUAAUAGUACUAGUUCAGAUGCUACCAUUUCUGAUUAUUCUGGUGAAAGUAUGCCAUCUCAUUCUACUGGUACAAGUUCAGAUCCUACCACAUCUACUGGUCAAGAAAUG